GAUGAACGCUGGCGGCGUGCCUAACACAUGCAAGUCGAACGGAGUCCAGCCUUUAAGACCUUCGGGUCAAAGAGGGGAAGACUGAGUGGCGGACGGGUGAGUAACACGUGGGCAACCUGGCUCAUAGAGGGGGAUAACAGAGAGAAAUUUCUGCUAAUACCGCAUAAGCACACACUGCCGCAUGGCAGAGGGUGAAAAGAGAAUCGCUAUGAGAUGGACCCGCGUCUGAUUAGCCAGGUGGCAGGGUAAGAGCCUACCAAAGCGACGAUCAGUAGCCGAUCUGAGAGGAUGAACGGCCACAUUGGGACUGAGACACGGCCCAAACUCCUACGGGAGGCAGCAGUGGGGGAUAUUGCACAAUGGGGGGAACCCUGAUGCAGCGACGCCGCGUGAGUGAAGAAGUAUUUCGGUAUGUAAAGCUCUAUCAGCAGGGAAGAUAAUGACAGUACCUGAAUAAGAAGCCCCGGCUAACUACGUG
rnacentral:rRNA from 1 species